GAUGAACGCUAGCUACAGGCUUAACACAUGCAAGUCGAGGGGUAGCAGGGUAGCAAUACCGCUGACGACCGGCGCACGGGUGAGUAACACGUAUCCAACCUUCCCAUAACUCGGGGAUAGCCUUUCGAAAGAAAGAUUAAUACCCGAUAGUACUUUAUUAAGGCAUCUUAAGAAAGUUAAAGGUUUAUUGGUUAUGGAUGGGGAUGCGUUCCAUUAGAUAGUUGGUGAGGUAACGGCUCACCAAGUCUUCGAUGGAUAGGGGUUCUGAGAGGAAGGUCCCCCACAUUGGUACUGAGACACGGACCAAACUCCUACGGGAGGCAGCAGUGAGGAAUAUUGGUCAAUGGGCGAGAGCCUGAACCAGCCAAGUAGCGUGAAGGAUGAAGGUCCUAUGGAUUGUAAACUUCUUUUAUAGUAGAAUAAAGUGAACCACGUGUGGUUUUUUGUAUGUAUACUAUGAAUAAGGAUCGGCUAACUCCGUGCCAGCCGCCGCGGUAAGAC
rnacentral:rRNA from 1 species